rnacentral:rRNA from 1 species
CCUACGGGGGGCAGCAGUGAGGAAUAUUGGUCAAUGGACGAGAGUCUGAACCAGCCAAGUAGCGUGAAGGAUGACUGCCCUAUGGGUUGUAAACUUCUUUUAUAUGGGAAUAAAAUGUUCCACGUGUGGGCUUUUGUAUGUACCAUAUGAAUAAGGAUCGGCUAACUCCGUGCCAGCAGCCGCGGUAAUACGGAGGAUCCGAGCGUUAUCCGGAUUUAUUGGGUUUAAAGGGAGCGUAGGUGGGUUGUUAAGUCAGUUGUGAAAGUUUUCGGCUCAACCGUAAAAUUGCCGUUGAAACUGGCAGUCUUGAGUACAGUAGAGGUGGGCGGAAUUCGUGGUGUAGCGGUGAAAUGCUUAGAUAUCACGAAGAACUCCGAUUGCGAAGGCAGCUCACUGGACUGCAACUGACACUGAGGCUCGAAAGUGUGGGUAUCAAACAGGAUUAGAUACCCGUGUAGUC